rnacentral:rRNA from 1 species
AUUGGAGGCCUGCCUGCCCAGUGACAUCUGUUAACGGCCGCGGUAUCCUGACCGUGCAAAGGUAGCAUAAUCAUUUGUUCUCUAAAUAAGGACUUGUAUGAACGGCCACACGAGGGUUUAACUGUCUCUUACUUCCAAUCAGUGAAAUUGACCUUCCCGUGAAGAGGCGGGAAUAAUUAAAUAAGACGAGAAGACCCUAUGGAGCUUUAAUUAAUUAACCCAUAAAUAAAUAACCACAAUCCAAGGAAACAAACCCCUUAUUUAAUGGGUUAACAAUUUAGGUUGGGGUGACCUCGGAAUACAAAACAACUUCCGAGUGAUUAAAUUUUAGACCAACAAGUCAAAAUACUAAAUCAUUCAUUGAUCCAAAGCCUUGAUCAACGGAACAAGUUACCCUAGGGAUAACAGCGCAAUCCUAUUUGAGAGUCCAUAUCGAUAAUAGGGUUUACGACCUCGAUGUUGGAUCAGGACAUCCUAAUGGUGCAGCCGCUAUUAAUGGUUCGUUUGUUCAACGAUUAAAGUCCUAC